rnacentral:rRNA from 1 species
GACGAACGCUGGCGGCGUGCCAACACAUGCAAGUCGAGCGAGUGAAUCUCCUUCGGGAGUGAAGCUAGCGGCGGACGGGUGAGUAACACGUGGGCAACCUGCCUCAUAGAGGGGAAUAGCCUUUCGCAAGGAAGAUUAAUACCGCAUAAGAUUGUAGCUUCGCAUGAAGUAGCAAUUAAAGGAGCAAUCCGCUAUGAGAUGGGCCCGCGGCGCAUUAGCUAGUUGGUGAGGUAACGGCUCACCAAGGCGACGAUGCGUAGCCGACCUGAGAGGGUGAUCGGCCACAUUGGGACUGAGACACGGCCCAGACUCCUACGGGAGGCAGCAGUGGGGGAUAUUGCACAAUGGGGGAAACCCUGAUGCAGCAACGCCGCGUGAGUGAUGACGGCCUUCGGGUUGUAAAGCUCUGUCUUCAGGGACGAUAAUGACGGUACCUGAGGAGGAAGCCACGGCUAACUACGUGCCAGCAGCCGCGGUAA